GUAGGGAAGCAGGGGCUCGUGGGGAGUGGGAGGAAGCUGGGGAGAAGAUGAGUUGAGAGCAGUCCAGUGUGAGGGAAAGUGGGGAUCCUGGGCCAACUUACCAUUAAGAGGGUCCAGUCCUGUGACUGCUGUGAAGUAACCAGGAUUCCACAUAGAGAUGGGGCUCAAAGUCAGCCCAGGAGCAGCACUGUGGUCCCAGAACUAAUAUUUGGCGACUCCAAGGCCAGGGAUAAAAAUGAAGAGAUGGAGAGACAAGAUUUCCUGGCCUCUAAUUGGCAGCACCCGUUGACUCUGCUCGUGACCAGACUCAUGAACGCUUCAUCCAAGGUUUCAUGUCAUCCGUGUGAGGAACCUCUCUGAUUUGAGAAAAUCUUUCUUAAAAUGGGCUUCUAGUUGUAAAGCCAUUGUCUUUUUAGGAAAUCAUCAAAUACCUUAAAGCUAGACACGCAAUCAGCUGCAUAAAUGACACACUCACUAAAUCAAUCCUUUAUCAGGUGGUCCUUCAAGGAUUUCUUGGUUUUGGGUUUUGAAAUGUGUAAGGUUUGCUGCUAGCAACUCCACAUUUUUUUAUUCACUCACAAAGACACAUGGUCAUAAAUAAAAUGCAUGGAACCAGCGAGACAAUAGCACAGCAGUAAUGUCAUUUUAUAUGCAGCAUGGCCCUGUUGUGAACGGAAUGAUUGUGAACGGAAUGAUGGCCAAGGAGCUUUAUGCUUCUGCACCGCCAGCUCACACGAUGGUCCGUGUAUUGCCCCGUGGAAAACCGGGGGUGGAAAGCUGUCUCCACGUUCUGCUGCCGAAGCAGCAAGCUGAUUCACACAUCUUGAAGGCACAGUGGAACAUGGAAGGGUGCAUAUGAGACUUGAUUUUGAGGAUGAAACUUCCUGUCUGAAUCGCUAAGUCUCCCAGCAGGGGUGUUAAUGUCCCUGUGAGAUGCAGGCUUCCCACAGACACACCCAGGUUGCGAGUGGGUUCAACAUGGUCACAGGAGCUUCAAAUGGUGAUCCUGAUGCUCAUGGCCAUGCAUUGAGAACAACUGUGUAAGAAGAUAUGGAUAAUGCUUGAAAACUACUAGUAUUAGCACCAUUUUGCAUAUACUCCAAGGAAGAUCUCAAUAAAUGCUUAAUGGAAAUAAGUAAAGGUAUGAAUGCUGGACCUAAUACAGGAGGAAGACCCAGGUGAUUUGUGUACAAUUUGGACACAAGCUCUUGCCAACCACCUGAGAGAUUCCAACAAUGAGAUGAGAUUCCUUACCUUGAACCAGAUAAUUUGGAAUGAAUGUCUAGGCAGAACUUCUGCUUCAGAAUGACCACAAUUAACUACCAGACAACCAACUUUGGGGACAUAUCAGUAGGUGCAGAGCAUUUAGAACUGGAAGGACCAUUUGAAAUACAUAGUUCAUCUCUCUCAUGUUACUGAGGAGGAAAACUGAAGUGCACGGAGGUAAAGUAACUCGCCCAGUAUCACAAUUUGUGUUUGUACCAUUGCUGAGGUGAGCACCUGGGCCUUCUAACCCCAAAUUAAAUUAUUCUCCUAUGUGACAACCUCCUUUAAUGGUUUUUUCUCAUUUAUAUUUAAAAUUUUUAAAGUACCCAAGUAAUAAUACACGUUCAUGGUAGAAAAAGAAAAAAAAUUAGCAAAAUGAGGAAAAUAAAAAUCAGUUUUAAUCCCACCUUCAGAUGCAACUAUUCUCUGUUUUGUAUUUCCUUUCUAGAUAAUAACUAUAACGGAUCAUUAUUAUGAAAUGCUUA